CAAAUCCUGAGGUGUUCGUUAAACCUUAAUAAUUCAACCGACAUAUGACAUCCGGGAGCUUGCGUCCGGUAGUGUAUGACGAGCCUACUAGUUAGGAAGUCAAAAGCUAUUGGCAGGGCACCCACUUGAGUGAGAAGCGGGUGUGAAUUAUGAGGAUAUGCGGCAUCAUGGGAAAACC
rnacentral:other from 1 species